CUAACCAUAUUGCUUUCACGUAUCGAUAUGCUGGUCAAGAUCUCGAUGAAAAUAAUAACGUUUCUCAUUAGUAUAGCUUAGUGCUGUUAUGUUGCUCCCUGGUGUUGCUUUUAAAUGCUUCAUCUAGGCAAAAUGUGAUUCAGGUUUAACAAACUAACUAUGGAGUGUGGCUCAAUUUGUACUGAGGUGUAUCCAAGUUUUCUCCUGUGUUGUCCUUUGUCACACUUGAUACUCCCAAAUAGGCCAUUGAUGUACAAAGAACUGGUCCUGAUUUUUUUAUACCCUACAACACAAUGGGUUCAGAUUUGACAUGGGGAUUAGGUAACUGAGAUAUUUGCAUGUCUAGCUAAUGCCAUUUUUUAGCUGUGUUUUCGUUGUGAAGUCUGAUCAAACUCAAGUAAUAUAUGAUCCAACAAUACAAAUUGAACUGCCUAUGAAUAUCCUAGAAUAUUGUGAAGUGCAACUCUUACUUUUCAAAGCUAUGAUGUGUAGACAGAUUGCAUAGCUAGAGUUUCCCAUGAAGAUGGCCAAGUGGUGAGCUGGAUCUUUCUUCACGAGCUGAGGCAGCAAUUGUGGAAUUCUGGAAACACGGCCAUUGAUGUUCUAAACGGUAUAGCUUGGGACGAAGAAAAUAACAGAUUGUUUGUGACCGGGAAAUUGUGGCCGAAGCUCUACGAGAUCAAGCUGCGCCCGGUCGAUGGGCCACCAGACGGGUCUGUGGAGAGGCUGUGCCCAAGGGCAAGCUUUUAUUGAUGACAAGUGUCGACGAGAAUGCCGAGGCAAGAUUAUUUUUUUGCCUAGGCGAGGAUAUGUACAUGUAUUAUGCCUCCUGAUCGAUUCGAGGUGAUCGGCAGUUGGAAGAUAGAUUUUUUUGCUGUGACUUGGUAGUGGCGUGGCGGGAGCUAGCUGCUCGUGAGUUUCAUGUUGGAGCCAGUGUAGUUAUGUGUAUGAUCAUGUAUGUGUUUUCCCCUGAUGUAAAAGUUGUAAAGAUGAUGAUUCUGUUGUGAAGAAAUCUAAUACGAAAAGAACAAUUCAUUCA